rnacentral:rRNA from 1 species
UACGUAGGGUGCAAGCGUUGUCCGGAAUUAUUGGGCGUAAAGAGCUCGUAGGCGGUUUGUCGCGUCUGCUGUGAAAACCCGAGGCUCAACCUCGGGCCUGCAGUGGGUACGGGCAGACUAGAGUGCGGUAGGGGAGAUUGGAAUUCCUGGUGUAGCGGUGGAAUGCGUAGAUAUCUGGAGGAACACCGGUGGCGAAGGCGGCGUUCUGGACUGCAACUGACACUGAUGAACGAAAGCCAGGGGAGCAAACGGG